rnacentral:misc_RNA from 1 species
GAUGAAGAACGUAGCGAAAUGCGAUAAGUAGUGUGAAUUGCAGAAUUCAGUGAAUCAUCGAAUCUUUGAACGCACAUUGCGCCCGCCAGUAUUCUGGCGGGCAUGCCUGUUCGAGCGUCAUUACAACCCUCAAGCCCCCCGGCUUGGUGUUGGGGACCGGCCACCGGUGCCCUGCUGCUUCCGCGGCAGGCGCGCCCGGCCGCCCCCGAAAUGAAUUGGCGGCCCCGUCGCGGCCUCCCUCUGCGUAGUAGCACACAUCUCGCAGCUGGAGCGCGGCGCGGCCACUGCCGUAAAACGCACCAACUUUUUUUUACAGUUGACCUCGAAUCAGGUAGGAAUACCCGCUGAACUUAAGCAUAUCAAUAAGCGGAGA